rnacentral:rRNA from 1 species
GAUGAACGCUGGCGGCGUGCCUAAUACAUGCAAGUCGAGCGAAGUGGGGGUGGGUGAGUAACACGUGGAUAACCUCCUAUAAGACUGGGAUAACUUCGGGAAACCGGAGCUAAAUCGGUUCCUUAUAGAUGGAUCCGCGCUGCAUUAGCUAGUUGGUAAGGUAACGGCUUACCAAGGCAACGAUGCAUAGCCGACCUGAGAGGGUGAUCGGCCACACUGGAACUGAGACACGGUCCAGACUCCUACGGGAGGCAGCAGUAGGGAAUCUUCCGCAAUGGGCGAAAGCCUGACGGAGCAACGCCGCGUGAGGGAAGAAGGUCUUCGGAUCGUAAAACUCUGUUAUUGGGGAGGCGGUACCUACUCAGAAAGCCACGGCUAACUACGUGCCAGCAGCCGCGGUAAUUC